GCCUAAUACAUGCAAGUCGAGCGAACAGACGAGGAGCUUGCUCCUCUGACGUUAGCGGCGGACGGGUGAGUAACACGUGGAUAACCUACCUAUAAGACUGGGAUAACUUCGGGAAACCGGAGCUAAUACCGGAUAAUAUAUUGAACCGCAUGGUUCAAUAGUGAAAGACGGUUUUGCUGUCACUUAUAGAUGGAUCCGCGCCGCAUUAGCUAGUUGGUAAGGUAACGGCUUACCAAGGCAACGAUGCGUAGCCGACCUGAGAGGGUGAUCGGCCACACUGGAACUGAGACACGGUCCAGACUCCUACGGGAGGCAGCAGUAGGGAAUCUUCCGCAAUGGGCGAAAGCCUGACGGAGCAACGCCGCGUGAGUGAUGAAGGUCUUCGGAUCGUAAAACUCUGUUAUUAGGGAAGAACAAAUGUGUAAGUAACUAUGCACGUCUUGACGGUACCUAAUCAGAAAGCCACGGCUAACUACGUGCCAGCAGCCGCGGUAAUACGUAGGUGGCAAGCGUUAUCCGGAAUUAUUGGGCGUAAAGCGCGCGUAGGCGGUUUUUUAAGUCUGA
rnacentral:rRNA from 1 species